UUCUGAUGAGAAAAUUACAGAUUUAGAAAAGUCAAAGAAAAUUGGCGAGAACUCUUUGACUGAACUACGCCAAAAGUAUCAAGAAUUUACCAAUUUAAUUGGAAGGUUGGAUUCUCAGGUUAUAACUCUGAAGGGUAAAUAUAAGAAUGCUAAAAUUAAGAAUGAACAAUUAAAAGAGGAAGUCAAUCAGUUGAAGGAUGAGAAGUCUACUCUAGAAGAGAAACUUAGACCUCAGAAGGAAUGCCACAGAGUAGAGUUAGAAAGUCUAUGCCAGUCCUGUGAAGAAAUUUUCAGAAAAUUUCGGGAGGAUACCAAGAAGAAUUUUAGUGAUGCUCUGUUUGAAUGGAGAUCAAAUCUUAUUCUACAUGCCCAAGUGGCUACAAGUCCUCUUGAUCUUAGUCACGUAAAUUUCAACUGUCUCAGGGACAUUUCUUCUGUGUCUCUUAAUUUUAAAGUUUACCAUCCUGAUGGUGAAGAGUGAGAAGCAUUUCAAAGAGAGUGGAAACAGUUUGAUGAUUUUGUCAUUCCCACUACACCCAAUGUUGCAGACAAUGAAGAUAGCUCAGCCACAAAGGAUCAAAAUCUUGAAGAUCCUCCAACUAAACCUACUAAUUAGCCUAAUGAGGGAGAGGAUUGAAAUUUUCUUUGUUAAAUCUUGUUUUUUACUUUUCGUUAGUUUGAUGAUGUAUUUCAACUUUAUCAAUGAAUCUACUCCUUUUGUCUCUAAUUGUCUUACUUAUUUCAGAAUCAUUUUACUGUCUUUCUCACAAUACUAUAUUUCACAUACCUGAGAGAUUAAACAAAACUCGAUGUAUUAUGCAUACAAGGUUUCUUACCAUAUUAAUUGUCCGAGAAUCGGCUGAAUUAGGCUCUGAUACUAAUUUAUAACAUCCUCUACCCGAUUCGAUUCACCGAAUCUGGAUCUCCGGGUUAUGCCACACAAAUCUCAACUAAAAUCAUUUUACUAAGAAUAAAUACAUUAAACUCAAAUAUGAACCGUCUUAUUAAUCAAUCUACUAUAGAAAUAUAAAUAUUAUAAAACUUUACAACUAAUCUUCCCUAAAGCAAUCAUCUAAUGCAUAUAUCUUCAUUAAAUUAGAUUCCUACAUUACACUACUACACAAUUCUGUAUGCAUAAUAUUCCAAUACACCAUUUCUUGGCGUAGGCUUGGCAUCAUCCUUAUAGGCGCAAAUCCAAUGUCAAAAUCUAAAACAGUAACAACAUGAAUAAGUUCAUAAGAACUUAGUGAAAGUCAAAUAAAAAUACCUUAGUGAUUACUUAUGAAGUUGAGGAUCAUUUUUACCAUAUGCUUGUUUAUUCAAUUACUUUGGCGGAUACUAUCACAAUUUUGGACUUACUCUUAUGCGCCAACUACUACACACUUACUUGUAUCAAUUCUUUAUAGUAUUAGACUAGCUUAUAAUCAUUCCAUAUAUCUCUGUACUCUUCUCUUGCUUAAUAUUCCAGUAAUCUUGUUGUGUAAUUUGUUGUGUCCCAUUAAAAGAAACAUUCGGGAAUUUAUACAUAUUAUCACUGUUCAUGAUCUACCUCCACUGUUCAUGACUUAACCUAACUAUUUAUAAGACUGACACUCUGAGUAGGCCUCGUGCAUGUUGGACAUGUGUAUCGUUCCAAGUCGCAUGUUAGAGUUCGCGGUCCCUUUCAAGUAAACUCUUUGGGUGUAUGCAAACUAAUACCGUGAGCUCCUUUCAACUCUUACGAGCUGAAAUCGUGAGCUCCCUUCAACUCCCGUGAGACGAUACUGUGACCUCCCCUCUUUUACCAACAUCGACGAAAUCUUCACAAAUUUCUCUGUCAUCAUCAAAUAACUGCAAAGUUUUCGUUACCUCUCAGCCUCGAGCUUGUGAACCCUCUCUUCACUUAUCACAUCCAGAUUGUCCAAGUCUAAAAUUUGAUUUGACUGUCACCACUUGCUGUGAAUUUUGGCCUCGCUCCUCCUGCUCACACGAGUCUGUUUGACCGAAAAAUAUGACAUUGUCUGGCCAAAUGCUGAUCAGAGUUCAUGAAUCCCACCCUUGUUCUAGUAGGGAACUUGAUUUUUAUGCAAAAAGUGUCGAUCAUCAUCUUAGCCAUCCGCAUGAUAGGGCGUCCAAAAAUGGCGUUGUAGGUCAUGGGAUGGUCUACGACGAAAAAUUGAACAUAUUUUGUAGUAGUAUGCUUACUAUCCCUAAAGGUAACAGGUAAAGUAAUACACUUAUGGUACGCUUCCCAAGUCAGUACCUCAACAACACCAUCACUGUCAACUAGAAUUCUCUUAACCUCAAACCUAGCAAUAGUUGUUGUUGCCACCAUAGGAUCGUUCCCUUCCUCGUUGCAGACUGAAUCCUCAUCUUUCUCACUGAACUUUACCCGCCAUUUCUCUUGCUGACGAGGCAUCUUAAGCGAAUUAACAGACAUCACACUUCUGAGGUGUGUUUUCCUUUUUGUGUUGGACGUCUCUCAUUCUUCAUUUGUACCAAUUUUAAUAUGUAUCGUACCCCUGGCCUUCUGCUUGCCCUUAUCAACACCUUGCAAACCCUGCCUUGAUGGUGAAGCUUCCUGUGCUACAAAUUCUUUUAGUUAGCCAUUUCUGACAGCCUCAUCGAUUACAUCCUUCAAAGUAAAACAAUCUUCUGUCUUGUUCCUCUAUCAUUAAGAAAACUAUAUCUGUCCCUUAAAUUAGACCUCAACUGACUAGGCCACAUAGGUGAUGGACUUGACAAAAUUCCUAAGCUUCUCACCUGGUUAAGAAUAUAGGUAUGCAAAACAUUUAAAGGAGUGUAAACUUCAAAUUUUCCACGGGGAUCUUACCUUCUCGUGUGCUCGCCUUGGGGCCUCUGGAAUGUCCUAGGCAACUCAUUUUGUGAAUGAACUCAUUUGUUGUCCCCCACCUUGGACUCGCAGGUUCUGGGAAGAAUGACCUUGCUGGUUACGUGCCCGCUGAAGACUUUUAAAUUGUCUAUCAUCCCUCAGAAAAGUACCACAGGCUACCCUCUUAAUUCGGCUUAAGCGAACUUAUGUGCCUUUUCAUACAACAAGUCCGCCAAAUUACUGGCACUUUCUGUUGCUUGGACCCUCGUGGGCUUGCUCUUUCCUUGGGCCUUAGUUUGUUCCUAUGUUGGUAUAAUAGCAUGUGUCCAUUGAGUGUGGGCCUUUGUUAGACAAUAGUUCGAGGUUGAGUCUAUGCUUGACAAUAGUUUUAGGUUGAAUAUGUGCUCGACAAUAGUGCAUCUAAUUGAUUUCUAAUGCAGGAUAGUAGGUCAGAGACAUUAUGGCCAUCUAGGCCUCGUUUGGCAAUGUUUAGAUUGCUUGUGUUGUUGUUUGGUAAUCUUUUUAUUACUAUUUGGACCAAAACUUCAUUUUAUUAUUAAUAGUAGAUAAAAUUACAUUUUUAAAUAAUUUUAAAUAUCUUAAUAUGUAUGCCAAGAUUACUAUUUGACAAAAUGUGCAAACUAUUCAGAAAAUUACUAGGUAGUCAAAAGAUUUUUUAUCGAGCCAUGUAAAUAUUCAAAAAUCUUUUCAUGAAAAUGUCAUUUGUUUAAAUAACUUUCUGAAAGCCAAUUUUUGCGAAACAAUCAAGUCUUGAUUUUAUUUGAAAGAAUAAACUCCAUGUUGAAUGCAGAUGAAGUAAAUAGUGCCCUGUGGAGAUCAAAGCUAUCCAAG
rnacentral:lncRNA from 1 species